GAUGAACGCUAGCGGCAGGCUUAACACAUGCAAGUCGAGGGGCAGCGUGGAGCAGCAAUGCUCUGACGGCGACCGGCGGAAGGGUGCGUAACACGUGAGCGACUUGCCCGUCACAGGGGGAUAACCGGCGGAAACGGCGACUAAUACCCCAUAUGAUGCGAUGCUGCAUGGCAUUGCAUUGAAAGAUUCAUCGGUGGCGGAUAGGCUCGCGGGACAUUAGCUAGACGGCGGGGCAACGGCCCACCGUGGCGACGAUGUCUAGGGGUUCUGAGAGGAAGGCCCCCCANACUGGGACUGAGACACGGCCCAGGACUCCUACGGGAGGCAGCAGUGAGGAAUAUUGGUCAAUGGGCGGAAGCCUGAACCAGCCAUGCCGCGUGAAGGACUAAGGCCCCUACGGGUCGUAAACUUCUUUAGACGCAGAGCAAUAAGGUCCACGCGUGGACCGAUCGAGAGUAUAGCGUAG
rnacentral:rRNA from 1 species